GUUAACCGGCUUAAAUGAGGCAGUUUCAGUAAGAGAUUCCAGCACUAUUCUUUUCUGGUCCUUCCUGAGUGAUUUAUAUUAAUUGUUUAGGAAAACCAAUACAAAAAUACUGGCCCCUUGAGACUGCAGGCUUUGUGGCAGUGGUAAGUGCAGCACAAAUAAGUGGUUGUAUAUGGCUCAGCAGUAGGCAUGCACUCUUACGCAACUCAAGUGGCCAGAAGCAGAGCUUUUUCUCUUUCAGCUUAGGGCAUCUGUCCAGGAAUUACAUGUUAGAGGGUUGAGAAAUGAAAUCCACUGGAGUAACUGAUGUGCUGUUGUUGUUGGAUUCACAGGGGAAGAUUUCAGCCAAGAUUCCUCCUCAGACAUAGAGAUCAAUUUAACUGAUGGCUCCUUUCUUGGAAUCACCGUGCAUCAAACAUCUGAACUGCAAACAGUUUUAUCUCCGAAACAGAGCCUGGGACAGCCCGAGCUGCACACAUAGGCACAACGGCUGUGAGGAGGACACGAGGUGGAUCUGGAGCUGGCAUCCCAACUCAAAGGGCAGCUUGGAAGAGACGGG
rnacentral:lncRNA from 1 species